UACGAAGGGGGCUAGCGUUGUUCGGAUUUACUGGGCGUAAAGCGCACGUAGGCGGAUCGAUCAGUCAGGGGUGAAAUCCCAGAGCUCAACUCUGGAACUGCCUUUGAUACUGUCGAUCUGGAGUAUGGAAGAGGUGAGUGGAAUUCCGAGUGUAGAGGUGAAAUUCGUAGAUAUUCGGAGGAACACCAGUGGCGAAGGCGGCUCACUGGUCCAUUACUGACGCUGAGGUGCGAAAGCGUGGGGAGCGAACGGG
rnacentral:rRNA from 1 species